UGAGGAAUCUUCCGCAAUGGGCGAAAGCCUGACGGAGCGACACCGCGUGGAGGACGAAGCCUUUAUUGGCGUAAACUCCUUUUUUCCGGGAAGAUAAUGACGGUACCGGAAGAAUAAGGGACGGCUAACUACGUGCCAGCAGCCGCGGUAAUACGUAGGUCCCAAGCGUUAUCCGGAAUUACUGGGCGUAAAGAGUUCGUAGGCGGACUAUUAAGUUCGGCAUGAAAGACCGGGGCUCAACCCCGAGUUUGUGUUGGAUACUGGUAGUCUCGAAUCUGGGAGAGGUUGGCAGAAUGGUACGAGUAGGGGUGCAAUCCGUUGAUACGUACUGGAAUACCAAAAGCGAAGGCAGCCAACUGGAACAGUAUUGACGCUGAGGAACGAAAGCGUGGGGAGCGAA
rnacentral:rRNA from 1 species